rnacentral:lncRNA from 1 species
GCCACUGAGUGCUGCUUUACCCUGUCUCAGAGAGAAACUCAGUAUUGCUCAUGCAUCAGAAUCGCUGGAUUAAAUUGGCUAUUUCUGUGUGCGUUUGGAAAGUCAGAAACAGAUCCUUGGACAAAGCUUACUAUGCAAACCGUAACCCUUCAAAGCAAGGGCGAGCCCUCGCAUAGCUUUGUGGAGACUGCGGUGUGCGAUGGGAAAGGGGAGCCUCUUCAACAAAUGAUGCCCUGCCUUGCGCUUAUGCGGAGACUCUUUUGAGUUAAAGACACAGUCCAAGUGAGCAAACAUUCUACACCCCACUUCACAGAGAAAUGGGAGCGGAUAUGGUUCUUAGGACCUAGACGACUACCCCAGCCCUAGCUUCCCCACGGUGUGAUCUCCGAUACCUGACAGCCUGCAUGUCCAAAUUUCCAACUUCCAUGCAGAUCUGAAGCCGCAGACAUGGGAUAGCCGAUGCUACUGACCCCUAUAUCCGUGAAAGCCAGGUUGAUAAUCACUGCAUUGGUGGGUGUCCGCAGCUCCUUGUACUUGAUGAAGAUACCCAGGACUACUACGUUGCUGAGAAUGCUCGUGAUACCUAAGGAUGCACACGGAAGGAGCACACAAUCUGUUUAACUUGAACGUUUAGAAGAGAAUGAAAAUUCAAUACUGAAGUUGCUUCAAAAGAGAGCAAGCUCAGCUUAGCCCCUUGUUUGAAGAGGUCCCGUUCUUCUUAGAACUGUAACAUCUUCUGGAAAAUAGAAAUGAAAUGAAAACACAAAGAACUUGAUGAUUGCAGAAGCCAGAGCUGAAGUCUGGCUUCAGUGUCAUCACCAUCGAGCAUCUGUCUGUCUCUAUAAAUUCCCCUGUAGCUUCCAUGACUCUAGCGUGUUGGUAUUUAGGAUGUGUGAAUGGUCACCCACCCUCUCCUGAGCAGACUACAGUCCUCUCCGUUUCCCAAAGCCUGGCCCCUUCUUUCUGUCUGGUUUCCCCUCUUGACCCUCAGCCAGUGUUCCUUCCGUCUUUGUUAGGGUUUCUACUGCUGUGAUGAAACACUAAGACCAAAGUGCAAGUUGGGGAGGAAAGGGUUUGCUUGGCUUACCUUUCUACAGUCCUCUUCCUUAUUGAAGGAAGUCAGGACAGGAUCUCAAACAGGGCAGGAUCCUGGAGGCAGGAGCUGAUGCAGAGGCCACUGAGGGGUGCUGUUUACUGAAUUGCUUCCCAUGGCUUUCUCUAAAGCCUGUUUUAUAGAACCCAGUACCACCAGCCCAGGGAGGGCACCACCCACCAUGGGCUGGGCGCUCCUGCAUUGAUCACUAACUGAGAAAAUGCCUUACAGCUGGGUCUCAUGGAGGCCUUUCCUCAACUGAGUUGCCUUCCUCUCUGAUGAUUCUGUGUUGACACAGAAACCCAGCCAGUACUCCACCCUAACUACAUUUCUGGCACUUCUCACAUCUUUUAUUUGGUUCACUAUCAAUAAGCACAUUAAGCGUGUAGUGCAUAUGGUCAUGUGACUACCCAGUAUUUCUUGAAAUUCAACAUGUCAAAGUUGAAAUUCUCCAUUCAACACACACAUGCGUGCAAAUGCUCACUGUCUGUCUCUGUCUGUCUUUCUGUCUUUGUCUCUUUGUGUCUCUGUCUCUAUCUCUCUAGGAAAAUGCCUAUUGCAAUAUUUGACCAUCUAAACAGGUCAAGUUAGAUUUCUGGGUCACUGGGACACCGGAGGUGAUACCAUUCUCAGCCCUGGAAUGAAGAACUCAGCGUGUUCAGUGUCCCACAGUUGGCCAGACCCAGACACCUUUUUAGCUUGAGGACAAAAGUUGCUAACCAGCAUGCGAGUGUGGCCUCUGACAAUAAGAAUUACUAUUGAGUACACAGGGUAUAAAUAUUAGCAGGAUCAACAUUUCCUACAGGCUGAAAGGAUGCAUAUGUUUUUCAUGGGUCAGAUAUAUAUCCUCAGGUCCCAGUGGUGGAGGCUGUUGUAAAAAUCAUUUUUUUUUAUUACGUAUUUUCCUCAAUUACAUUUCCAAUGCUAUCCCAAAAGUCCCCCACACCCUCCCC